rnacentral:rRNA from 1 species
GACGAACACUGGCGGCGUGCCUAAUACAUGCAAGUCGAGCGAAUUUACGAGAGCUUGCUCUCGUAAAUUAGCGGCGGACGGGUGAGUAACACGUGGGCAACCUGCCUAUAAGACUGGGAUAACUUCGGGAAACCGGAGCUAAUACCGGAUAAUUCACAUCUACUCAUGUAGAUGUGCUGAAAGACGGUUUCGGCUGUCACUUAUAGAUGGGCCCGCGGCGCAUUAGCUAGUUGGUGAGGUAACGGCUCACCAAGGCCACGAUGCGUAGCCGACCUGGGAGGGUGAUCGGCCACACUGGGACUGAAACACGGCCCAGACUCCUACGGGAGGCAGCAGUAGGGAAUCUUCCGCAAUGGACGAAAGUCUGACGGAGCAACGCCGCGUGAGUGAUGAAGGUUUUCGGAUCGUAAAACUCUGUUGUUAGGGAAGAACAAGUAGCAGAGUAACUGCUGGUACCUUGACGGUACCUAACCAGAAAGCCACGGCUAACUACGUGCCAGCAGCCGCCGUAA